rnacentral:rRNA from 1 species
GGGACAACAGCUGGAAACGGCUGCUAAUACCGCAUAAGCCCUUAGCACUGCAUGGUGCAUAGGGAAAAGGAGCAAUCCGGUACAGGAUGGACCCGCGUCUGAUUAGCCAGUUGGCAGGGUAACGGCCUACCAAAGCAACGAUCAGUAGCCGAUCUGAGAGGAUGUACGGCCACAUUGGGACUGAGACACGGCCCAGACUCCUACGGGAGGCAGCAGUGGGGAAUAUUGCACAAUGGAGGAAACUCUGAUGCAGCGACGCCGCGUGAGUGAAGAAGUAUUUCGGUAUGUAAAGCUCUAUCAGCAGGGAAGAAAAUGACGGUACCUGACUAAGAAGCACCGGCUAAAUACGUGCCAGCAGCCGCGGUAAUACGUAUGGUGCAAGCGUUAUCCGGAUUUACUGGGUGUAAAGGGAGCGUAGGUGGCAAGGCAAGCCAGAAGUGAAAACCCGGGGCUCAACCGCGGGAUUGCUUUUGGAACUGUCAUGCUAGAGUGCAGGAGGGGUGAGCGGAAUUCCUAGUGUAGCGGUGAAAUGCGUAGAUAUUAGGAGGAACACCGGAGGCGAAGGCGGCUCACUGGACUGUAACUGACACUGAGGCUCGAAAGCGUGGGGAGCAAACAGGACUAGAUACCCUGGUAGUCCACGCGGUAAACGAUGAAUACUAGAUGUCGGGUAGCAUAGCUAUUCGGUGUCGUCG